rnacentral:rRNA from 1 species
CCUACGGGUGGCAGCAGUGAGGAAUAUUGGUCAAUGGACGAGAGUCUGAACCAGCCAAGUAGCGUGAAGGAUGACUGCCCUAUGGGUUGUAAACUUCUUUUAUAUGGGAAUAAAAUGUUCCACGUGUGUCUUUUUGUAUGUACCAUAUGAAUAAGGAUCGGCUAACUCCGUGCCAGCAGCCGCGGUAAUACGGAGGAUCCGAGCGUUAUCCGGAUUUAUUGGGUUUAAAGGGAGCGUAGGUGGAUUGUUAAGUCAGCUGUGAAAGUUUGCGGCUCAACCGUAAAAUUGCAGUUGAAAAUGGAAGUCUUGAGUACAGUAGAGGUGGGCGGAAUGCGUGGUGUAGCGGUGAAAUGCUUAGAGAUCACGAAGAACUCCGAUUGCGAAGGCAGCUCACUGGACUGCAACUGACACUGAGGCUCGAAAGUGUGGGUAUCAAACAGGAUUAGAUACCCCUGUAGUC